AUGACUCAGAUUUUCUUUGAAUCAUUCUCACUUAUUUCCAAACUAAUUGUAAUAAUUUAAGUUUGUACGUAAAAAAGCUGUUGUACAUAGUCCCUUGGUGUUAAUUGUAUUGUAAGUAAUAUCUCGAAUUAACUUUUUUUUGGGAUCGCAGUUUUAUAUUGUGUUUUUAAUUUUAUGAGCAGCUUUAUCUUUCCGGCUUAUGAAUUGCUCAUACCAGUGAAAUUGGCGUAGAUCGUACACUGUUUAAGUAGAUUGUAUCUUGGUGUCACUUCAUCAUGGGAGACUUAAUAGAAAUAACAACAUGGCCCAAGCACCUGAAUGCAUUUUACAAGAUCACAAGUAAUGCCCUGGCUUUUGAAGUGAUGGCUAACGGCAAUGCUGCAAUCGGACUUUCAAGAAAACCAGCUAAUGACUGUGAAUUUUGGAUUGUUAUGGGAGAAAGGCAGCAAUGCUGGAUUAAGAAGCAUGACAGCCCUCGUAGAGAGGCAGCAAACACUCCGGGAAUCCUCAGCGGGGAGGAAUACCGCAAGUUUUGGUUGACUUGGGCCAACGGCUGUGUGCGCCUCGGCAGAGAUGGCUACUCUGAUGCCAUAGUCACAUGUGCCAAUGACAUUAAUGAUAUUAAGUAUGUCACAUUUUCGGUUGUGGAGCAGAGGAACCCUGUCCACUGGCGGUUUGAAAUACCACCACAAGCAGAGAAACUAAAUCACCGAACAAUAACAGGAUGUGAUCUUCAGUGGGUGACAUACGACCCGGAGCAGGAGCUCCCGGCCGAGCCUCUGGUAGGGGGCUUUGAGGGUGAAAGGCUGUACAUUGCUCGGGCAAAGCACCGGGGCUCCCUGACGCCCGGAAAGUUCGUGUUUUCUGCUGGAAAAGCGUACGUGUCAUGGGGAGGACAAGCUAAUGAGAAACAGGAGUUUGAGGUCCUGUGCGGUUUUGACGGAGUCUGGAAACCAGCUGUAGAGGAUAAAAUACCCGUAGGGGCUUUCGUCGCAGGCCAUUCCGAAGACGCGCUAGAAAGACUCUACAUCGGCAGGGUAGAACAUGAGGGACACCUCAUCCCUGGGAAAGUCCAACCGUCACAUCGAGUAUGUUACUUCACUUACCAAGGCAGAGAAGUGGGUUCCAAGAAAUAUGAAGUUCUAGUCGUCCCAACUGAGAACGAAAGAUGUGUUAAUAAAGUUUUCGUAACAGACAGAUGUUGGCAACCUGAUAUGGAAGAUUAUGAUGUCGCAGAUUCAGAUAUAUCUAAUGAUACCGAUGAAGAGCCAUUUGCGGAGCGAGGUGAACCUGACGGCCCAGUUUACAUAUUCUAAUACAUUUCAAUUAUCAUGUAUUAGAAUUAGAUAUUGAAUACCUAUCAAACUCAGGAAGCAACUGUACCAAGGAGGUUCGGUUGUGGGACUCGCUACCUCUGGACAAGAGGCAUGCGGCGCGGCUGUUCCGUCGGAGGCGUCGACGCCAACGACGCGCCCUACAAGAUUGAAAA